rnacentral:rRNA from 1 species
AGGCUCAGAUUGAACGCUGGCGGCAGGCUUAACACAUGCAAGUCGAGCGGAGAUGAGGUGCUUGCACCUUAUCUUAGCGGCGGACGGGUGAGUAAUGCUUAGGAAUCUGCCUAUUAGUGGGGGACAACAUUCCGAAAGGAAUGCUAAUACCGCAUACGCCCUACGGGGGAAAGCAGGGGAUCUUCGGACCUUGCGCUAAUAGAUGAGCCUAAGUCGGAUUAGCUAGUUGGUGGGGUAAAGGCCUACCAAGGCGACGAUCUGUAGCGGGUCUGAGAGGAUGAUCCGCCACACUGGGACUGAGACACGGCCCAGACUCCUACGGGAGGCAGCAGUGGGGAAUAUUGGACAAUGGGCGGAAGCCUGAUCCAGCCAUGCCGCGUGUGUGAAGAAGGCCUUUUGGUUGUAAAGCACUUUAAGCGAGGAGGAGGCUACUUAGAUUAAUACUCUAGGAUAGUGGACGUUACUCGCAGAAUAAGCACCGGCUAACUCUGUGCCAGCAGCCGCGGUAAUACAGAGGGUGCGAGCGUUAAUCGGAUUUACUGGGCGUAAAGCGUGCGUAGGCGGCUGAUUAAGUCGGAUGUGAAAUCCCUGAGCUUAACUUAGGAAUUGCAUUCGAUACUGGUCAGCUAGAGUAUGGGAGAGGAUGGUAGAAUUCCAGGUGUAGCGGUGAAAUGCGUAGAGAUCUGGAGGAAUACCGAUGGCGAAGGCAGCCAUCUGGCCUAAUACUGACGCUGAGGUACGAAAGCAUGGGGAGCAAACAGGAUUAGAUACCCUGGUAGUCCAUGCCGUAAACGAUGUCUACUAGCCGUUGGGGCCUUUGAGGCUUUAGUGGCGCAGCUAACGCGAUAAGUAGACCGCCUGGGGAGUACGGUCGCAAGACUAAAACUCAAAUGAAUUGACGGGGGCCCGCACAAGCGGUGGAGCAUGUGGUUUAAUUCGAUGCAACGCGAAGAACCUUACCUGGCCUUGACAUAGUAAGAACUUUCCAGAGAUGGAUUGGUGCCUUCGGGAACUUACAUACAGGUGCUGCAUGGCCGUCGUCAGCUCGUGUCGUGAGAUGUUGGGUUAAGUCCCGCAACGAGCGCAACCCUUUUCCUUAUUUGCCAGCGAGUAAUGUCGGGAACUUUAAGGAUACUGCCAGUGACAAACUGGAGGAAGGCGGGGACGACGUCAAGUCAUCAUGGCCCUUACGGCCAGGGCUACACACGUGCUACAAUGGUCGGUACAAAGGGUUGCUACCUAGCGAUAGGAUGCUAAUCUCAAAAAGCCGAUCGUAGUCCGGAUUGGAGUCUGCAACUCGACUCCAUGAAGUCGGAAUCGCUAGUAAUCGCGGAUCAGAAUGCCGCGGUGAAUACGUUCCCGGGCCUUGUACACACCGCCCGUCACACCAUGGGAGUUUGUGCACCAGAAGUAGGUAGUCUAACCGCAAGGAGGACGCUACC